rnacentral:rRNA from 1 species
CACGUAGGGCGCAAGCGUUGUCCGGAAUUAUUGGGCGUAAAGCGCACGUAGGCGGCUUGGCAAGUCGGAUGUGAAAUCCCUCGGCUCAACCAAGGAAGUGCAUCCGAAACUGCUGAGCUUGAGUACGAAAGAGGAUCGCGGAAUUCCCGGUGUAGAGGUGAAAUUCGUAGAUAUCGGGAGGAACACCAGUGGCGAAGGCGGCGAUCUGGGUCGAUACUGACGCUGAGGAGCGAAAGCGUGGGGAGCGAACAGG